rnacentral:rRNA from 1 species
GAUGAACGCUGGCGGCGUGCCUAAUACAUGCAAGUCGAGCGAACGGACGAGAAGCUUGCUUUUCUGAUGUUAGCGGCGGACGGGUGAGUAACACGUGGAUAACCUACCUAUAAGACUGGGAUAAUUUCGGGAAACCGGAGCUACUACCGGAUAAUAUUUUGAACCGCAUGGUUCAAAAGUGAAAGACGGUCUUGCUGUCACUUAUAGAUGGAUCCGCGCUGCAUUAGCUAGUUGGUAAGGUAACGGCACACCAAGGCAACGAUGCGUAGCCGACCUGAGAGGAGGAUCAGCCACACUGGAACGGGGACACGGUCCAGACGCCGAAGGGAGGCAGCAGUGGGGAAUAUUGGACAAUGGGCGCAAGCCUGAGCCAGCCAUACCGCGUGGGUGAAGAAGGCCUUCGGGUUGUAAAGCCCUUUUGUUGGGAAAGAAAAGCAGCAGGUUAAUACCCCGCUGUUCUGACGGUACCCAAAGAAUAAGCACGGGCUAACUUCGUG